rnacentral:rRNA from 1 species
UACGGGGGGGGCAAGCGUUGUUCGGAAUCACUGGGCGUAAAGGGCGCGUAGGCGGCCUUGCAAGUCGGUUGGUGAAAGCCCGGGGCUCAACCCCGGAGGUGCGGCCGAGACUGCAGGGCUGGAGGCCGGAAGAGGAGGGUGGAAUACCCAGUGUAGAGGUGAAAUUCGUAGAUAUUGGGUGGAACACCGGUGGCGAAAGCGGCUCUCUGGUCCGGACCUGACGCUGAGGCGCGAAAGCGUGGGGAGCAAACAGG